rnacentral:rRNA from 1 species
UACGAAGGGGGCUAGCGUUGCUCGGAAUCACUGGGCGUAAAGGGCGCGUAGGCGGCGUUUUAAGUCGGGGGUGAAAGCCUGUGGCUCAACCACAGAAUGGCCUUCGAUACUGGGACGCUUGAGUAUGGUAGAGGUUGGUGGAACUGCGAGUGUAGAGGUGAAAUUCGUAGAUAUUCGCAAGAACACCGGUGGCGAAGGCGGCCAACUGGACCAUUACUGACGCUGAGGCGCGAAAGCGUGGGGAGCAAACAAG